UACGGAGGAUGCAAGCGUUAUCCGGAAUGAUUGGGCGUAAAGCGUCCGCAGGGGGUUGUGUGAGUCUAUUGUCAAAGCAUCAUGCUUAACAUGAUAAAGGCAGUCGAAACUACACGACUAGAGUGCGUUCGGGGCAGAGGGAAUUCCUGGUGUAGCGGUGAAAUGCGUAGAGAUCAGGAAGAACACCGGUGGCGAAAGCGCUCUGCUAGGCCGCAACUGACGCUGAGGUACGAAAGCUAGUGGAGCGAAUGGG
rnacentral:rRNA from 1 species